UUUAUUUUCUGAGCACUCAGGGAGGCACUCAGUUCGGGAUCUGAACAGCGCCCCCUAAGGGAAAUUGUGCUACAUUUUAGUAGAAUGGAAACACAAAGCAAGGGGGAUCAGGGUAGGCUGUUGCAUUGACCGAUCACAUUUUGACACAAGGGGUUUAAACAAAGAAGUUAGCAUUGGUGACUGGGCCUUUUCCAGGUCACCUGGUUUCAGGUUCCUGAAUCAGCUUUUGCAUUCAGGUCCCCUCCUGGAUGCUGCCCUGGAAUUUAGAAUGGUAAGGGAACAAGGAGAGGGCAAGCCACACACAGUCAAUUAAGUCAAGAUGAGCAGCACACAUACGAGCCGUGUGCCUUAACGUAGAUGACUGGAUCACAGCACUUCCCUCUUUACAUCCUCACUGGCUAACAGACCAACAUGAAGCACCUGAAUGAGUGGGCUAGGAGUUGGUUCUGGGGCCUGGGAACCUGAACUCAACUUUGAUCCUGCCGGGAAGAUGGAACUCAUGUUCCAGAGAUGGUUAAACAUUUAGUAAGGGUCUAGCUCGGGCCCCAGUAGAUGACUUCUAACUUCAGAAACAUCAUCUUUCCUGGCGAGUCAGAUCCAAUGCAAAAAUCACCCCAACUUGCAUCCUCUUCAUGUGAAUGGCAACUGCUUUGGGUGGAGACCACGCAUGUGAACUUCGCCUCUGUGCGCUGAAUACUUCUGUUAACCCAAAAGUAAAGCCAUGGUGAAGGGGUGGGACAAAGCUCUGCAAUUCUGUUCACCAGUUCAUCAGCUUUUAAUCCCCUGCCUUUUCCAUCAGCAGGUUUACUGAGGCCCCAUUGUAGGCAGAAGGUUGUGUAAUCAUAGUCCCUCCUUGCUCAAGUAUGUGAGAGAGCAAGGCGGCAGUGCUACACCAAUGUCACCAGUCAGCACAGAUCUAUUGGUGGAAGGCCAGACUGAAGACCUCCAGUUCUAUUCUGACUUAGCCACGUGAAGACCAACAAGACCUGCUGCCACUUCAUACAAGAAACCUCGCCACUCCGCAAACCAGACUCCGACCUGCCUCUUAGGCCCUUGGCUUCUACCGAGCUUUCUCUGGUCUCUGCCUACUCCAGUUACUGGAUCUCACCUCAGCUGUGACAAUUCAGGGAUCUGUGCCCAAAGAAACCAGAAGCCUCAGGAGACACUGGAGAACAGAUCUGCAGGGGUAUCCUCUGAGGACACCAAACUGUGGGAUUCCUCAUGUGUAGCAGAGACUACAGGUGCCCCACUGCCCUGUCUCUACUCGCCAAACCAGUGCACGCAUGCCCAGCUUUCAAAUGCAGGCACCUUCAUGUAUGUGCAUUGUUUUCUGUGGGAUGCCACAGUUGGCAGGGUGAGUACACCUUAGGAUCACCUUCAAAGAUAAGCAGAGUAUCCUGGUGAACAAACUAGAAAUGGUCAUACCUGUAAGGUAGGAUAGCUCUGAGAAGGAUGUUGGUUCCUGGCUUUAGAGCUCUUCUCCCAAGAGACCAAGCUCAUCAGCUCUCAGGGUAGUUAACUGUCUCCUUUUCCUUCGGGAAUCUCCUCUGAGAUAAUCUCAAAGGUUUUGCCAGCUUUGGUUGUCAUUGCAACAGCAUACCCGAGAAGCAACGUAAGGAAAGGUUUGUUUGAGCUCAUGGUUCAAGGGAAUCCUUCGUGAUGGAGAAGGUAUUGUGGGUAGAAGAGGUCCAUGGUUGUAGAAUUUGCUAGAACUGACUUCUCACAUGGGAUUUAUCAACAAGCAGAGGAAGCUAACACAGAGCCAGAGGUAGAACACAUUCCUCAAAGGUCCACCCCAAUAGCCUUUAGUUGAACCUAGAUCUCACCUCCUCAUGGUCCCGCAGCCUCCCAGAAUCUCCCCAUCACCUGACACUAGCUCUUCAGAUUCACCACUAGCCUGUGGGGGUACAUAUCACAAGCAAACCUUAUGCACUGACUCUUAACCACAAGGUCUGGUUCUGGAAAGAGGAGAACUCAGACAUGGUUAGGGGCUUGGAAGGGAUGUGGUCAAGGUCCAAUCGCACCAGAUCUCGUUGCAGACACUAUCCAGAGACAUGCCCUCCCAAGAGUGUGCAUGUAUUUGAGUUGGUUGGGAUACCCAUA
rnacentral:lncRNA from 1 species